rfam:Gorilla gorilla gorilla genomic chromosome, chr1, whole genome shotgun sequence
GUCUCUGUGGCGCAAUUGGUUAGCGCGUUCAGCUAUUAACCGGCAAGUUGGCGGUUCGAGCCCACCGAGGGACG